rnacentral:rRNA from 1 species
GACGAACGCUGGCGGCGUGCUUAACACAUGCAAGUCGAACGGACAGGCCCGGCUCUUGUGUGGUGCUCGAGUGGCGCACGGGGGAGUGACACGUGAGUAAACUGCACUUGUCUUUGGGGUAUAUUUAGGGAAAUGGGGCGAAUACCGGAUAGGAGCUCUUGCUGCGUGGGGGGGGUUGGAAAGUUUCGGCGGUUGGGGAUGGACUCGCGGCUUAUCAGCUGGAUGGGGGGGUAGUGGCGUACAAAGGCUUUGAAGGGUAGCCGGCCUGGGAGGUUGGACGGCCACAUUGCGCCUGCGAUACGGCCCAGACUGCAACGUGCGGCAGCAGUGGGAAAUCUGGCAGAAUGAGCGGACGCCUGUUGCAGAAACGCUGCGUGCGUGAUGAUGGCCUUCGGGUUGAAAACCGAUGUCGCCUGUGCUGAAGAGUUAGUGACGGUAAUUGGUAAAGAAGCACCGGCUAACUACGUG